AGAGUUUGAUCCUGGCUCAGAACGAACGCUGGCGGCAGGCCUAACACAUGCAAGUCGAGCGCCCGCAAGGGAGCGGCAGACGGGUGAGUAACGCGUGGGAACGUGCCCUUUGGUUCGGAAUAUUCCCGGGAAACUGGGAGCAAAACCGGAUAAGCCCUUCGGGGGAAAGUUUACGCCAAAGGAUCGGCCCGCGUUAGAUUAGGUAGUUGGUGGGGUAACGGCCUACCAAGCCUACGAUCUAUAGCUGACCUGAGAGGAUGAUCAGCCACACUGGGACUGAGACACGGCCCAGACUCCUACGGGAGGCAGCAGUGGGGAAUCUUGGACAAUGGGCGCAAGCCUGAUCCAGCCAUGCCGCGUGGAUGACUGAAGGCCCUAGGGUUGUAAAGUCCUUUCGACGGGGACGAUAAUGACGGUACCCGUAGAAGAAGCCCCGGCUAACUUCGUGCCAGCAGCCGCGGUAAUACGAAGGGGGCUAGCGUUGUUCGGAUUUACUGGGCGUAAAGGGCGCGUAGGCGGAUUUUUAAGUCGGGGGUGAAAUCCCGGAGCUCAACUCCGGAACUGCCUUCGAUACUGGAAGUCUAGAGCACGGUAGAGGUGAGUGGAAUUCCGAGUGUAGCGGUGAAAUGCGUAGA
rnacentral:rRNA from 1 species